rnacentral:rRNA from 1 species
UACGGGGGGGGCAAGCGUUGUUCGGAAUUACUGGGCGUAAAGGGCUCGUAGGCGGCCAACUAAGUCGGACGUGAAAUCCCUCGGCUUAACCGGGGAACUGCGUCUGAUACUGGAUGGCUUGAGUUUGGGAGAGGGAUGCGGAAUUCCAGGUGUAGCGGUGAAAUGCGUAGAUAUCUGGAGGAACACCGGUGGCGAAGGCGGCAUCCUGGACCAAUACUGACACUGAGGAGCGAAAGCCAGGGGAGCAAACGGG